rnacentral:rRNA from 1 species
AACGAACGCUGGCGGCAGGCUUAGCACAUGCAAGUCGAGCGCCCCGCAAGGGGAGCGGCAGACGGGUGAGUAACGCGUGGGAAUCUACCCAUCCCUACGGAAUAGCUCCGGGAAACUGGAAUUAAUACCGUAUACGCCCUACGGGGGAAAGAUUUAUCGGGGAUGGAUGAGCCCGCGUUGGAUUAGCUAGUUGGUGGGGUAAAGGCCUACCAAGGCGACGAUCCAUAGCUGGUCUGAGAGGAUGAUCAGCCACAUUGGGACUGAGACACGGCCCAAACUCCUACGGGAGGCAGCAGUGGGGAAUAUUGGACAAUGGGGGCAACCCUGAUCCAGCCAUGCCGCGUGAGUGAUGAAGGCCUUAGGGUUGUAAAGCUCUUUCACCGGGGAAGAUAAUGACGGUACCCGGAGAAGAAGCCCCGGCUAACUUCGUGCCAGCCGCCGCGGUAACAC